CGGUCAGACAAAUCAGACCGGGAGCUGCGAACCUUUUGUUUGGGCACUGUUGCCAAGCUACAGCACAUAUUUGGAUUCUGUGGCCCAGGCAACGGGGAUAGAUGAGUUUGUCGCUCCCUAAUGUGUGGCUCCGGGUCGCAAGGGACCGGAGCCUAUCCCAGCUACCACAGGGAAAGAGGUGGGGUACAGCCUGGACAGGUCGCCAGCCUUUCACAGGUCUAACACACAGAGACGGAUAACUAUUCACAUCUAUGGGCGAUUUGCAAUCACCAGUUAACCUCACUAAUUCCACAUCAUCGGACUGUGUGGGGAAACCAGAGUACUCGGAGAGAGGCAUGCAAACACAGGGAGAACAUGCAAACUCCACACAGAAAGGCCCCAGCCAGAUGGUGGAUUCAAACCCAGGACUUUAACAGUGCACCACCAUGCUGCCUACAAGAAAUCACAUUUACAGUAACUGUCUUUUUUAAAAAACCUUAUAUUUAGCUGCCCUGUUUUUUUUUUUUUUGUUUGUUUUAAAUAGAUAAAUACAAAGUCUGAAUCAUGUAGUAAAAUUAAAUACAACUAACACAAGUUUCAACUGGUCACACGGGGAUUCAUUCUGACAGAGAUACACAAGCACGCAUUAAAAACGCAAUGAUGUAUUUAAUAUAUAGAUCUAUCUGUGCAGCCAUUAGAGUACAUGUCAGCCAAGCAGCUACACUAACCUUGGGCACAAUAAGUAGAAAUACAUAUAUAGUGGAUAUACACACACACACACACACACACACACACACACACACACACACA